ACUCCUACGGGAGGCAGCAGUGGGGAAUAUUGCACAAUGGGCGCAAGCCUGAUGCAGCCAUGCCGCGUGUGUGAAGAAGGCCUUCGGGUUGUAAAGCACUUUCAGCGAGGAGGAAGGGUUCAGUGUUAAUAGCACUGUGCAUUGACGUUACUCGCAGAAGAAGCACCGGCUAACUCCGUGCCAGCAGCCGCGGUAAU
rnacentral:rRNA from 2 species